UACAGAGGUCUCGAGCGUUGUUCGGAUUCAUUGGGCGUAAAGGGUGCGUAGGUGGCAGGGUAAGUCGGAUGUGAAAUCCCGGAGCUUAACUCCGGAACUGCAUUCGAUACUGCCUUGCUGGAGUACUGGAGAGGAGAUCGGAAUUUACGGUGUAGCAGUGAAAUGCGUAGAUAUCGUAAGGAAGACCAGUGGCGAAGGCGGAUCUCUGGACAGUUACUGACACUGAGGUGCGAAAGCGUGGGGAGCAAACAGG
rnacentral:rRNA from 1 species